AUGAUUUUAGGUGGAGACACAGAGGUUGGGUUCACAGCUUUAUUAGGGCAUCGCAGGAGGGGUCCCUGGGGGGGGGUUACACCCUUGACACCCCCCCCAUGGGUGGCAGAGUCCCCUGGGGGGGACUGGGGGGAUUCGUCCCCACAAAGGCUCCGCGGCCAUCCUGGGGGGCUCCUUUUUGGGGCCUCAGGAGGGGUCGUGACCUCCCAGUCCCCCCCAGUCUCUUCCAGUCCCUCCCAGUUUCCCCUGGACCCUCCCCAGCGCUGUCCGCUCCGCAAGUUCCUGGUGCUGGUUGCAGCCCCUGAUGUGGCUCCUGGGGACAGGGGGACAGGGAUUGUCCCUGUCCCCAUCCUGCCCCUGUCCCUGACCCCAUCCCUGUCCCCAACCUCAUUCCUGUCUGUCCCCAGCCUGUCCCCAUCCCCGUCCCCAUCCUGUCCCUUUCCCCGACCUCAUUCCUGUCUGUCCCCAGUCUGUCCCCAUCCUGUCCCCAUUCUCUGUCCCUGUCCCCAUCCUGUCCCUGUCCCCAUCCUGUCCCUGUCCCCAUCCUGUCCCCAUUUCUGUCCCUGUCCCCAUUCCCGUCCCUGUCCCCAUCCUUUCCCUGUCCCCAUCCUCUCCCUGUCCCCAUCCCAUCCCUGUCCCCAUCCUCUCCCAG
rnacentral:lncRNA from 1 species